UACAGCAAUGUUCUCAAACCAAAGGCUUAUGAAGUCGUAAACCGGCAUACCUCGCUUUACUGAGCCUCGCAGAUAUGUACGUGUUCUCCACACCGGCAUGGACACCUGACUUGGCCAGAUCACAGAGGAGAGAUGUUCCAACGGGGCUUAUCCCUGGGGCAGCCAUUCCAGAAAUCAUCUAUUGUAGAGUCUUCCAGAAGGAUUGACCCCAAACCUCUUCACCUAUUGCCACCUGUGCAUCCUACUCCUGGCUCUGAACACUCUACAGCUCAGCCAUGAGAGGCAAGGACACUGAAGCAAGUACCUCAACAAGUUAUUGUGAUGAUUCAAUGAAAAGAAAUGUGCAUGUAUGUGUGCACCUAUGCAUGCAAAAUAUGCAACUAG